UGCUAUAAAAGGCCGCACACUUGACGUGCUCGCCACAGUUGGAAAGAGAGCGUUGGAUAGAGAGAACCAAUAGUUUCGUUGAAAAAUUUGAAGGCAGUCGCAGUUUAAGUCGCAAACGUGUGCAAGGCUGUUAUAGAUUGUAAUAAAAGAAGAUUGGAAGAGUGUGAAGAGACUAAGGAGCUGAACAAACGGCCUUCGAAUCGAGAGUGGUGUGAGUCAUGGGCGCUGCCACCAGAAAUAAUAUCCAUGCAAAAAGCCCACAGGAAAAGCCUUUGGUCCCGGAGCACACUCGUUUCCUGCUCCUCGCACGUUAAUGGCAACGAUGAGGAGGAACGGAACACUAAACAAGCAACUACGUCGUAGUGGGCAACUGCAAGAAAUCAAAUUCCGGUGAUCCGGACAACAGCAACCAUGCGACUUUGACUAUGACUGGUAGCGAAGAAACCUGAUCGUCGCAGCGACGAUGGUGUUGCGUUAUUGAGUAACUGAGUGAGUCUUCACGUCUGUCCGAGUCACCCUUACCUCUACCGCCUGGCAAUGAGUUCCGAAAACCAGCACAGAUCGUCGGAGCAAGGAGCAGCAGCAGCAAUCACCACCGAGUCUCCGUCUCCUCUGCAUGACAUGACAAUGCCCAUGUGAUUCAGUCGUAGCGGACAGAUUAAUGGGGACAAGGCGGAAUGCGGCAGCAGCUCCAGCUCACAUCAGCUUACCUGCGUUUAAAGCUCUCCUGGCCAUCGACAACUAUCGACCAACUACCACCACUUAUUCAGCAUAGAACGCUUCGCAGCUGUUGAGCACCACCCACCCAUCCACACAGAUACACGGUAUUUGGUAUAUCAGCUGCGAACAAAAUAUUGCUUUUUGAACAGAUUUACAGCGAAAAUAACAGUGGAGCGGAUCAGCCGUCGAAAUACAUCGUUUUGCGGUUUGGAUUUUUAGGAGCUCAUGUCUCACCCUCGCUUUAAAGCCUUUUGGGAUUACUCUCGUGAUUAACGCCUAAAUUGCAGACGUCGGAUUUCAAAUUUGACUGGGGUAUAUGAUCUCCAACGGCCUUCGCUCGGCGCUUAUUAUUGGACUUCUUCUCUUUUACUUUUUAUGAUUUUGGCAGGCAAUGAUUGGACCCUAGGCGUUUACCCUUCCUUUUCCCCUAAUCUUUGGGCUAGAUUAAGCCAAUUUAAUCUUUGUAGCGGCAUCUCACAGUUGAUCGGUUCCUGUGGGUGCCAGUGCGUGAUGCCCACCCUACUGUACUCGCACUCUCCAAGUGCUCGGAGUCCUGAGAGCGCCAGUCGCAGAUCAUCGACGAAACUUAAUCUGAAGCACGCGUAAAAGAGUUAGUAGACUAGGCACAAGCGUCACUUUUCGUUUAUUUUUCUAGCGAUGCAGCGCAGUUGAACGGUGCCUGCGUGCAUCAGCAUGAAAAUAUGGGAGCAUGUGCGGCGAAGAAUCCCCUCUAUUUAACACUGCGUUCUUUAAUUCGAAGGCCAGGAACAUCGAUGGGUUGAAAGCCAAACCGUAAAUCGUUUUUGAUACUAAGUUCGAUCAAAAUGCUCCCGUUAUAUUAUUUCUAGCGCAUUGCUCUGCAGCUGGGCAUACGGAAUGCUCCUACGAUAGCUACCAUUAAUGUCGGAUUUUCCUCUGUAGAUAUGCCGAGAAGUAAAAGCUUUAAAAAUUCAAGAAGCAGACGCCAGGAACAGCCAAUCAAUCGUAAAAUCUGAAGAAAUUGCAAUCGAAAUCCCGUUCUUUCGUAUUUUGUAGUAAUGCUCUUCAUGGACAGUUAAGCUGCAGGGAAAUUGCAAGCCAGCUUAGUUGGGCGGUCCGCCAAUCACAUGUAAAUAAUAUUUCUGUCUUGUAGCGAUAUGGCUGCAGUAGAAUGUGCCUGCCCAUAUGUCAUCUGUAGCUUAUAUCAAGUUAUUGACGUCGAAAGCAACAGCAAUUCGUCCCGUCGACCACUUCAAACAGAGUUAUUCCUCAGAGCAACUUCAAGACCGACAAAAUAAGCACUUUCCAUGAAGUUUCUCCUUAUCGUACCGCAGUGAAAGAGCGAUUAAUUAAUGUAUUCAUUACAGUGUAAAUUCCAAGACGUAAGGGAAAAACAUGCAUACAGCAAAAAAAAUGACGCGAUGAGCAUCCAAACUAACGUAACAACUAUGAUAUGUGAAAUCGAAAUCCUUUUCUUUCGUAUUUUGUAGAAAUACACAUAGGCGAACAGUAAAGCUGCAAGGAAUAUGCACGCCAGCCUUUACCGGAUCACGUAAAUUAUUUUUAGUUUGUCGAACAACAUAUUUCUGUCUUGUAGCGAUGUGGCUGCAGUUGAAUGUGCCUGCCCAUAUCUCAACAAUAGCUUAUGAGCCGAGACCGACAGCGAACCGUCGAUUCCCAGGCCUUCUAAUGGCGGCGUUUCAGCCACACGUUUGGAUCGUCACAAAGCUCAUUUUCUACUGAAGUUUCUCUAUUCUUUCUUAAUGAACUAGAGGCUCAUUUAUGAAUUCAUUGCAGUUCUUAUACAAAGACAUGAGUUUCUACCGCCCGUACCAAUUUAUCACACUGUCUACUUACCUGCGCACACUCGCCUGUUUUAAAACCUACCGAGAACAUGUAGCAAAAUUUCUUGAGGCAAUGGGAAUCAAAUGCCAACUUGAAAGCAAUAACACCAACACUCAGUCGUCGCAGUCCAACAUCCAUUCAACACGUCGAGUUCGAUUUGAAACGCAGGUCAGGUCUGAACACAACUAGAACGCUUGCACCUGUUUUCAGCUUAAUUUCGCGCCAGGAUGGUGGUCUUUUUUUUUUUUUUUUUGUUUUUUAGAAGGAACGACGUCUGGCUUUGGGCAUCGUGUCUAUUGGCCAGGACCCAUAUGUGUCUUCCCAGAGUGAGAACUUUAGCAGUCAUAAAUUUAUUUUACACUUCUUGCAGCGGUGCCACACAGUUGAGUGUGCCUGUGGGCAUCGACUUAGCUGCAUUCGAAAGGCCUUGGAGUUGAGGAGCUAGCGACGGACCGGUCGGUUGAUCAAGACGUGCACCGAUCCUAGCUGGGCGAGUCUACUGCUGUGCUGCUGCAAAUCGUUAAGGGAAUCCAAACGAUGCAUCAAGUCCAUCCAGUUAGGCUUCUCUUAGCAAGUAGAGCGCAACGCCUCUACAACGACAACCAAUUUAAGCUCACCUGCUACUGCAAAAGAGCACAAAGCGUCCAGUCAACAUCGAGUAUUACCACAGAAAGCAUGCAACCAGAAACUGCGUCCCGCUGCUUGUGCCGAUUGUGAACCUAAUGUUUUUACAUUACAGCCGAGAUUUCUGCCGAAGAGGUCUGCUGGUAUCUAUCUAACCACUAGACAGUGCCAAGGACAGAGCCUAAAGAUGACUGGACCAUCCGUUGUUCAGACCGCGCCAGGCCCAGUCCAAAUUGGGUGCCGCACCGGGCCGCAAGAUCCACACACGGGCCUUGCUACAGAGCCAAAGUCGGAGCUAGAGUCUGGCGCCGUGAUGUUCUGAGCUGAGCCUGAAUCUAAGCACGUACUGCAUUGCACCGCACAGAAUUGUGCGUUCGGUCCACGCUAAAGGGAAACAAAUGCGUUUGGACCGAGAGCCGCUACACCGCACCAUCACCAGUAUUCGCUGAGAAGUGAGCUGAUGUGUUGUCGUUGUUACAGGGCUGCUGCUGCAACUGCGCCACUGGCAUCCUCGCCUAGCGUCGCUAUUUAUCACUUGUCACUUCCAGCGAUCGGCAGUGUUCAUCAUUCAGCGUUCAUCGUUGAAUGACAUCCGGACAGAUCAGAAGCUAGCGACAUGGGAAGCAACUGCGAUUAGCAUUCAAGCAUCCGAAUCUAAAGAUGUGCAGCAGCAGCAGUUGAAGACUAUCGGUCAGUCCAGACAGCUAGCCGAAGUCGACGCAGACUUGAAAAUCGUGGCGCAGGACAGACGAGUACGUCGAUCACCUUCAGUGGGUUGUCGUUUUACUUGCACUUUCCUUCCGUAGGUAGCCCAGAAAUCGAGAAAGCCCAUAUCCAUCGCAAAGGGAAACAAUUGCGAUUAGUGUUCGAAGACCGAGCUGGGCGGCCAAUGGGUCGCGCCACGCUCCGCCAGUUGAGCCCAUAACUCCUGGCCCGCCUAUCAUCGUACCGCAAAGGGAAUCAAUUGCGAGGUGGUACUACAGCAGUCGAGCUCCCCGUUGAGCUCCUGGUCCUAGUCAAGCUCCCAGCUGAGCUUCUGGUCGAGUUCUUCGCCUCAGCAUUAAUAUCGUAAAGGGAAUCCAAUGCGAUGUACAGCGACAGCGGCAGGCAGGGUCAUCCAAGACACAAAGGUAUAUAAGCAGAGUUCUAGUCGUGCAUUUACGCUUUCCAGGAACGCCCACGACCCUCUCAUAAGCUACCGAGCACGUGUCUGAAUCACUACCCGGCCAAUGUCGAAACUGGCUGCAAUGCCAAGCGCACCACCAACCAUACUCGUCAUGUUGGUCUCAAAGGGAAUCCAAGAGACACGCGCCCCGCGGUACAGCCAGCUGAAACACACUUAUUUUGUUUCUGUUCCUUUAACAUAUCAUUGCAGCUUGAUGAUCUAAGUAGCAAACAUUUCAGACACAUUGAAUACGUAAGGCUUCAGGCUUGUCCUGUUAAGUAGAAAAUAACAUUUUUUUUUUUUUCAAACUCCAUUGUAAGCUAUUGUAACCCAUGACUUUAAACCUUUGCCCAAAGAGCCAAUGCAGACGUCCGACUUUGUUGAAGAGUGCAGCAGGCUGGAUAGUACAGACCAGAAGUAGCAGCAGCAGCAAUCAGUUUAUAAGCAGGACCAAAAUUAGCGCGAAAUGCAUGGCAGUAAGCAGUAAGGAAUGGGAGCAACGUCCAGCGCGUUUUGAACUACAGAGGCCCUUUCAAGACCCGAUCCAAGGCAGGGAGAGCAGCAUACAAAGGCCAAGGCAGCCUUGACAUUCAGAACCUCCGACUUUGCACCUACUACCUUCGACCCGUUUUCAAUGUGUUUUCAAUCUCCAAAUUCGCACCCUGGUUCUAUUUGGAGCAGACUUAAAACACGACACCACGUAGGAGUACACACGCUUUUAUCACUUUUCAUGAUCACCCUUCAUGAACUGCAAGUGGAGCAACACGUAGGCUGGAGGUAUAAUUUCUUCGCUAAACACAAUUUCAUCGACCCGCAACCGUUUUUUCCGAUAUUCUACCACUGGCUUGGAAAAGCUAGCUAUUGACUCUGCUGUUUUCGGGACUGAUGGCGGCUCCAGACUUUAUUUCAACAUUUACCCCUCCCCCCACCGAAUGUGCAGUUGGACUGUAUUUACGUUUCGCUUCGCUAUACCACUGGGCAGUUACUUUUUCUCUGUGAGGACCCUUCGUGAGGAUAUUAGAUUUGUUGGAGAAUUGUUCUUAAAAUUUGACUGCGGCGCGGGAUUAAGACAUAAAGAAAAGCUGACAGCGGCGUGGGAUUUAAUAAGGACUAAGGACGGCGGCGGGGGAUUUUCAAAACGACGAAGCUGAUGGAUACAUAGUUUUGACUGCGGCGGGGGAUUCGAAGUGUAGCGACGUGGGAUUAUUAGGGCGUUUAGGCGAGGGCGCUAGGGAUAU